rnacentral:lncRNA from 1 species
UUUUUUUAAGCACUCACAUCUGAGUUUUACUAACUUCAAGACAGAACAGAUUCCCUAAAGGAGUACUGAGAAAGUCAGAUUAUAGAAAGAAUGGCUGAAAAAGAGGAGUGGGGAAUGUACUAAAGAGUGGACUGAUUUUAUGCACCAAGCAUCUGGAAUCCAUAUGGAACUUUUACUUACUCGAUUUACUGAAGGUAUCUUCAGAUAAGAAAAGACAAAAACAAAGAGAAUGGACUGCAGGACCAGGAAGAGUCGUUUAGCAACCCUGGGAAAAGCAUAAGAGACUCGUAUUCUUUGCCCAUAGGGACUUGAGAAUCUAUCAUCCUGCGCCACCUGGUUUUUUAAGCAGUAUUCUUGGCCUUUGUUUUAGUUGGAGUAGAGUGAGGGGAGUCAUCUACAGGUUUUGAGUUACUUCCAUCCCCUUCCUGAAGUUUAAGGGUUCUUGUUUUUUUAUAAUGGAAUGAAGCUGAAACAA